CCUCACCACUGCCCUCCAGAUGAUCUCCUUGACACCACAGGGUGGGGAAUGUCCUGCACCAGGAGGAGCAGGUUGGAGCCUAAGAAGGCUUUGCACCUCUUCAGCUCCAAGUCUGGGAUCCAUGCUGCACAAAGAAACCCAGGGACCUCACCACCAAGUGGCACCUUGAGCCCCUCCACUUCUUUUUUCCCAUGUGUCAGAAUAAGGUACUGAGAUAAUUGUGACACCGAUUUUCCCAGUUCCAGUCAAGGUCUUUUUUUAAAGUUGUUUUCCUCUUGCCUCUGGGAUUUCUGAGCUGCAGGGUCCUGGGCAGAAGUUUCCAGGCAGCAGCUCCCUCGCAGGACUUCUGCUUUCAGAAGCUAAUGUUCCACAAAGUCUCCCCAGGGCAAGAAGACAGAGGGCUGGGGUUCUGGAGGAGGAGGCCAGGAAAAAUUCCCCUGGUGCUCGGGGAGGAGGUGUGGGGUCUGCAGACCCCAGGUGAGCUCCUGUCUCAGGAAGGCACCGGGUCCACUCAGGUGACCAGCGUGCUGGGUACACUCAAGACGGGAGCACUGGCUUAGCAGCAUGGAGACCUGGUCCACACCUGCCUUCCAGAGACGGGCAGAGGAGCUGACUGGUCAAAAUAACCCUGCUCCUUGCACGAGGGAGUAAAAUCUAUGUGUGCUCGGGUGGAGUGCUGUGGUCAAUGUCAACCGUGCACACGACAGCACCUGCCAAAGCAUUAGAGGUUGUCCAGAUAUAACUCACAGUCUGUAUUGAGUGCCUACUGUGGCUAGGUGCAGUGUCGACGACGUAGGUAGCAAAGAAGUGUAAGAGCUUCGCAGGAAGAGAAGCUGGGAGAAGCAGAGAAUAAGGCAAUAAAGGGGUGAUCUAGAGAGAUUCCUCUGGAUUUUCACAUGAAUUGGCUUGGGCUCCCGAGUCCUGACUCCCUCGUCAGAACGUCUGUCUGUCCUGCUCAGGACCUUUCAGGCCGCAAGGUGGCUGAGGCCUACUUCAUGCUAAUGCAAGGUCAGAAGCGAGAGCACUUGAUCUCCUAACAGAGAAAGACGAUAAUAAUGAUGGUUACUUUUUUCUUUUUUACUUUUGCAGUACCGAGGCUGAACCCAGGGCCUUCACAGUGACUCCCACCCCUAGCCCUUUUGUACUUUUUGAUUUUGAGAUGGGGUCUCCCUAAGUCACUAAGUAACCCAGGCUGAGCUGGAACUUGGGAUUCUCCUGCCUCAGCCUCCUAGAAUGCUGGGAGGGCAGGUGUGUGCCACCCGCCCAGCCAUGGCUAACAUUUUUAACACGCACUCUACACGCCAGUUUUUAAAUACUAACUCAUUUAAUUUUCAAGCCAUCCUAUGAGGAGGACAAAACAGUCGGUCCCCUUUGUAGUAGGGACUCAGGGCACAGAUGAGGGUGAGCUUAUUUCAGGAGCCCCUGGGGAAGGGCCGACAGCAAAUCUGAACUCAGGAAGGUGAGAGUCAGGUCUCAGAGCGCAGGUGACAGGAGGGUAUCCCCGCUCUGUCUCUAAGCUCUGCGUCCCUGGGGGUCCAGAG
rnacentral:lncRNA from 1 species